GUGGACUGUAGCCACCUAUGAGCCAUGGAAUGUCCUUAUGCUUUUGGAGUCAACUAAGGAGUCCUAAAAAUCUAAUUUGCAGAGAGAGAGAGAGGAUGAAGCAGAGGUUGUAAGAAGAGUAAGAACUACAGACUAAGAUGUGCCUUGGUUUCUAGGACAGAACAGAGUAUCAGUUACCCAGGGCUUUGGAGCCCCUGACACCAUAGCAGACUCUGACAUCACAGUAGAAAUCAAGGGUAUUGGUACAAGUCAUGCUGCCUAUAUAUCAGCUGCCAGCCUGCCUCCGGGGUAUGUGACACUGAUCAUGCAUGGAACCAGAAGGGACCAGGAGGAAAGUGCUGGUCCAGAAAAGUAGGUUUCUAGAUUCAGCUCUAUACUAACCUUCUGGGUGACUUCAGUUAGUCUGAGGCUCAAUUUCUCCAUUUAUUAAAUUGGGGGUUGGUCUUCACUGGCGGUUUACAUCAAUAAAG
rnacentral:lncRNA from 1 species